rnacentral:rRNA from 1 species
UACGGAGGAAAAGAAACUAACAAGGAUUCCCCUAGUAACUGCGAGUGAAGCGGGAAAAGCUCAAAUUUAAAAUCUGGCGGUCUUUGGCCGUCCGAGUUGUAGUCUGGAGAAGUGCUUUCCGCGCUGGACCGUGUAUAAGUCUCUUGGAACAGAGCGUCGUAGAGGGUGAGAAUCCCGUCUUUGACACGGACUACCAGUGCUUUGUGAUGCGCUCUCAAAGAGUCGAGUUGUUUGGGAAUGCAGCUCAAAAUGGGUGGUAAAUUCCAUCUAAAGCUAAAUAUUGGCGAGAGACCGAUAGCGAACAAGUACCGUGAGGGAAAGAUGAAAAGCACUUUGGAAAGAGAGUUAAACAGUACGUGAAAUUGCUGAAAGGGAAACGCUUGAAGUCAGUCGCGUCUGCCGGAACUCAGCCUUGCUUUUGCUUGGUGCACUUUCCGGUUGACGGGCCAGCAUCGAUUUUGACCGUCGGAAAAGGGCUGGAGAAAUGUGGCACCUCCGGGUGUGUUAUAGUCUUCAGUCGUAUACGGCGGUUGGGAUCGAGGAACGCAGCGCGCCGCAAGGCAGGGGUUCGCCCACUAUCGCGCUUAGGAUGCUGGCGUAAUGGCUUUAAACGACCCGUC